AUUGAACGCUGGCGGCAGGCCUAACACCUGCAAGUCGAGCGAGCGGCGGACGGGUGAGUAAUGUCUGGGAAACUGCCUGAUGGAGGGGGAUAACUACUGGAAACGGUAGCGAAUACCGCAUACCAUCAGAUGUGCCCAGAUGGGUUGAGCUAGUAGGUGGGGGAACGGCUCAGCUAGGCGGCGAUCCCUAGCUGGUCUGAGAGGAUGACCAGCCACACGGGAACUGAGCCACGGUCCAGACUCCUACGUGAGGCAGCAGUGGGGAAUAUUGCACAAUGGGCGCAAGCCUGAUGCAGCCAUGCCGCGUGUGUGAAGAAGGCCUUCGGGUUGUAAAGCACUUUCAGCGGGGAGGCGUUACCCGCAGAAGAAGCACCGGCUAACUCCGUGCCAGCAGCCGCGGUAAUUC
rnacentral:rRNA from 1 species